rnacentral:rRNA from 1 species
CCUACGGGGGGCUGCAGUGGGGAAUAUUGCACAAUGGGCGCAAGCCUGAUGCAGCGACGCCGCGUGAGCGAUGAAGGCCUCCGGGUCGUAAAGCUCUGUCCUACGGGAAGAAUAAUGACGGUACCUUAGGACGAAGCCCCGGCUAACUACGUGCCAGCAGCCGCGGUAAUACGUAGGUGGCGAGCGUUAUCCGGAAUCACUGAGCAUAAAGGGUGCGUAGGCGGCCCUGCAAGUCAGGAGUUAAAUCCCUCGGCUCAGACGAGGUCAGCUCGUGAAACUGUAGGGGUUGAGUGCAGGAGAGGAGAGCGGAAUUCGUAGUGUAGCGGUGAAAUGCGUAGAUAUUAGGAGGAACACCAGUGGCGAAGGCGGCUCUAUGGCAUGCAACUGACGCUGAGGCACGAAAGCGUGGGGAGCGAACAGGAUUAGAUACCCCAGUAGUC